GACGUAGGGGGCAAGCGUUGUUCGGAAUCACUGGGCGUAAAGAGCUCGUAGGCUGGAGAAUAAGUCUUGCAAUAAAUCCCUCGGCUUAACCGGGGGUCAUUGUGAGAUACUGUUUUUCUUGAGAACAGGAGAGGGGAGCGGAAUUCCUAGUGUAGCGGUGAAAUGCGUAGAUAUUAGGAGGAACACCAGUGGCGAAGGCGGCUCUCUGGCCUGUUUCUGACGCUGAGGAGCGAAAGCCGGGGGAGCGAACGGG
rnacentral:rRNA from 1 species